rnacentral:miRNA from 1 species
UACUAGCCCAAUGCUCUUCCAACUGAGCUACCGCGUAGCUCCGAAUAUGAGCAACCGCGUAGCUCAGUUGGAAGAGCAUUGGGCUAGUA